rnacentral:rRNA from 1 species
GCAAGUCGAGCGCUACCUUCGGGUGGAGCGGCGGACGGGUUAGUAACGCGUGGGAACAUACCCUUCUCUACGGAAUAGCCUCGGGAAACUGAGAGUAAUACCGUAUAAGCCCUUCGGGGGAAAGAUUUAUCGGUGAAGGAUUGGCCCGCGUAAGAUUAGAUAGUUGGUGGGGUAAUGGCCUACCAAGUCUACGAUCUUUAGCUGGUUUGAGAGGAUGAUC